rnacentral:misc_RNA from 1 species
ACACCUCAACUCUCUACGGUUUGCCGUGGAGAGCUUGGACUUUGGAGGUUUGCCGGCCCUUGGUUGGCUCCUCUCAAACGAAUCAGCUUUCCAGUGUUUGGUGGCGUCACAGGUGUGAUAACUAUCUAUGCUCGCGAUCCGUCCGCCUCGCAACCUUCAGCAAUGGAGGUUCGCUGGAGCUCAAAAAUGUCUCUCCUCAGCGAAGACAGCUUUUCUGAC